UUAAAAGAAGAUAGUAAGGGCACACGGUGGAUGCCUUGGCACAGAAAGCCGAUGAAGGACGUGACAAGCUGCGAUAAGCUACGGUGAGAAGCACAUAUUCUUAGACCCGUAGAUUUCCGAAUGGGUAAACCCAUCAGGACUCAUCUCCUGAUACUUGACGCUGAACACAUAGGCGUCAAAGAGGCAACCUGGGGAACUGAAACAUCUAAGUACCCAGAGGAAUAUAAAUCAACCGAGAUUCCCCAAGUAGUGGCGAGCGAACGGGGAUAUAGGUCAAACCGACGGUAGCACAAUACCAUGCAGGGGUUGCGCCGAGCGGGGUUGUAGGACUAUGAGUGGGAUGGCUGCUUACUUCCCAAACAGUUACAAAACACUGUGUUAGCUGAAUCGUUUUGGAAAAGCGAACGAAACAGGGUUAAAGUCCCGUAAGCGAAAAUGCAGUGUCUGUUUUCAUAGCACCUGAGUACUGCCGGACACGUGAAACCCGGUGGGAAGCAGGGGGGACCACCCUCCAAACCUAAAUACUUUUCUGUGACCGAUAGUGAACAAGUACCGUGAGGGAAAGGUGAAAAGCACCCCGGAAGGGGAGUGAAAUAGUACCUGAAACCGUGUGCCUACAAGCAGUCGGAGCAGUAGCAAUACUGUGACGGCGUGCCUUUUGUAGAAUGAGCCAGCGAGUUACGAUAUGUGGCGAGGUUAAGCUAAAAAGCGAGCCGCAGCGACAGCGAGUCUGAAUAGGGCGACACAGUCGCAUGUCGUAGACGCGAAGCCAGGUGAUCUAUCCAUGAGCAGGCUGAAACGGGGGUAAGACCCCGCGGAGGGCCGAACCCACUUAGGUUGAAAACUGAGGGGAUGACUUGUGGAUAGGAGUGAAAGGCUAAUCAAACCUGGAGAUAUCUCGUUCUCCCCGAAAUAGCUUUAGGGCUAGCGUCAGACGUUUACCUGCGGAGGUAGAGCACUGAAUGGUCGCGGGGGCCUCACCGCCUACCAACAUCAAUCAAACUCCGAAUGCCGUAUGGUCUAGAGUCUGGCAGUCAGAACAUGUGGGCUAAGCCGUGUGUUCGAAAGGGAAACAGCCCAGACCGUCCGCUAAGGUCCCCAAAUCUAUGCUAAGUGGCAAAGGAUGUGCGUUUGCUCAGACAACCAGGAUGUUGGCUUAGAAGCAGCCAUUCAUUUAAAGAGUGCGUAAUAGCUCACUGGUCGAGUGGACAUGCGCCGAUAAUAUACGGGGCUAAGCAUAGUACCGAAGCGACGGACUAAUCUAAUUAGUGGUAGGGGAGCUUUCUGUGUUGGGUUGAAGCCGUAAGGAUAACCUGCGGUGGACUACACAGAAGUGAGAAUGCUGGCAUGAGUAACGAGAGAGGUGUGAAAAACACCUCCGCCGUAAAUCCAAGGUUUCCUGGGCAAGGCUAAUCCUCCCAGGGUCAGUCGGGAGCUAAGGCGAGGCCGGAAGGCGUAGUCGAUGCACAGCAGGUAGACAUUCCUGCACCACCGAAAGUACGUUAUUUACCGAUGGGGUGACGGAGAAGGGUAGCUUGGCGGGGUUCUGGACGUCCCCGUGAAACCGCGUAGGCUUGAGUGUAGUUAAAUGCGCACUCAAUGAAGGCUGAGGCGGCCGACGAAGCGACUUAAGUGAAGUGAGUAAGCCCAUACUUCCAAGAAAAACCUCUAGGGAGCACUGAGGUGCCCGUACCGCAAACCGACACAGGUGGAUGGGUAGAACAUACCAAGGCGAUCGAGAGAACUAUGGUUAAGGAACUCGGCAAAAUUGCCCCGUAACUUCGGGAGAAGGGGUGCCGAGCCUGGUGAUAGGAUUUACUCCUUGAGCUGGGUUCGGUCUCAGUAAAGAGGUCCAAACGACUGUUUAUCAAAAACACAGGACUCUGCUGAAGUCGUAAGACGACGUAUAGGGUCUGACGCCUGCCCGGUGCCGGAAGGUCACGAGGAGUUGUCAGGAGUAUUCCGAAGCAGCGAAUCUAAGCCCCGGUAAACGGCGGCCGUAACUAUAACGGUCCUAAGGUAGCGAAAUUCCUUGUCGGGUAAGUUCCGACCUGCACGAAAGGCGUAACGAUUUGGACACUGUCUCAACCAUAGACUCGGUGAAAUUGCACUAGUCGUGAAGAUGCGACUUACCCGCGGAAGGACGGAAAGACCCCGUGAACCUUUACUGCAGCUAGACAUUGGCUGCCGGUUCGUCGUGUAGAGGAUAGGUGGGAGACUAUGAAGUGGAAACGCCAGUUUUCAUGGAGUCACCCUUGGAAUACCACCCUCGACGUUUCGGCAUCCUAACUUGCGACCAUAAUCUGGCGUGAGGACCGUGUCUGGUGGGUAGUUUGACUGGGGCGGUCGCCUCCUAAAAUGUAACGGAGGCGCACGUAAGGUCUGCUCAGGAUGGUCGGCAACCAUCCUUUUGAGUGCAAGAGCAUAAGCAGGCUUGACUGUGAGACCUACAAGUCGAGCAGAUGGGAAACCAGGUUCUAGUGAUCCGGCGGCUCAGCGUGGAAUGGCCGUCGCUCAACGGAUAAAAGGUACUCCGGGGAUAACAGGCUGAUCUUCCCCAAGAGUCCACAUCGACGGGAAGGUUUGGCACCUCGAUGUCGGCUCAUCGCAUCCUGGGGCUGGAGCAGGUCCCAAGGGUAUGGCUGUUCGCCAUUUAAAGCGGUACGCGAGCUGGGUUCAGAACGUCGUGAGACAGUUCGGUCCCUAUCCUCCGUGGGCGUAGGAAAAUUGAGGGAGGCUGCCCCUAGUACGAGAGGACCGGGGUGGACGGACCUCCGGUGUAUGGGUUGUCAACCAAUGGCAUUGCCCAGUAGCCGCGUCCGGUGUGGAUAACCGCUGAAAGCAUCUAAGCGGGAAGCCCAUCCCAAGAUGAGUUUUCCUGAUUACUAAGACCCCUUGUAGACCACGAGGUGAUAGGCUGCAGAUGUAAGUGCUUGAUAGGCAUUGAGUCGAGCAGUACUAAUAGGUCGAGCUCUUCUUU
rnacentral:rRNA from 1 species